AGAGUUUGAUCAUGGCUCAGAACGAACGCUGGCGGCAUGCCUAACACAUGCAAGUCGAACGAGACCUUCGGGUCUAGUGGCGCACGGGUGCGUAACGCGUGGGAAUCUGCCCUUGGGUUCGGAAUAACAGUUAGAAAUGACUGCUAAUACCGGAUAAUGUCUUCGGACCAAAGAUUUAUCGCCCAGGGAUGAGCCCGCGUAGGAUUAGCUAGUUGGUGAGGUAAAGGCUCACCAAGGCGACGAUCCUUAGCUGGUCUGAGAGGAUGAUCAGCCACACUGGGACUGAGACACGGCCCAGACUCCUACGGGAGGCAGCAGUGGGAAUAUUGGACAAUGGGCGAAAGCCUGAUCCAGCAAUGCCGCGUGAGUGAUGAAGGCCUUAGGGUUGUAAAGCUCUUUACCCGGGAUGAUAAUGACAGUACCGGGAGAAUAAGCCCCGGCUAACUCCGUG
rnacentral:rRNA from 1 species